rnacentral:rRNA from 1 species
UUGAAAGGGAAACGAUUGAAGUCAGUCGUACCGGCGGGUAAUCAGCCUUUCGGGUAUGAUUCUGUGGAGCGUGAGGAGUUAAACGCCUUCAUGCCUGCAUAUUCGUGCUCUUGGGUGUACUUGCUCGUGUGGUUGGUUAACAUCAAUUUUGGUGGUCAUAAAAUGACUGGAGGAAUGUAGCUUCGAUCUCGUAUUGAAGUGUUAUAGCCUUCGGUAGAUGUGAUGAUCGAGAUUGAGGAUUGCAACGGAUACCCUUCGGGGCUACCUGUCUGGUCUCUGAUCGUUGCUCUGGUGCCGAAAGCGUGCUUACGGUUAUCAAAGUCGAUGGUCAAUAGGUUAGAACGGGUUAAAUUCGUUAAGGAUGUUGACGUA